rnacentral:misc_RNA from 1 species
GAUGAAGAACGUAGCGAAAUGCGAUAAGUAAUGUGAAUUGCAGAAUUCAGUGAAUCAUCGAAUCUUUGAACGCACAUUGCGCCCCUUGGUAUUCCGGGGGGCAUGCCUGUUCGAGCGUCAUUAUAACCCCUCAAGCUCAGCUUGGUGUUGGGGCCUGCCGACUGGCAGCCCUUAAAAUCAGUGGCGGCGCCAUCUGGCUCUAAGCGUAGUAAUUUCUCUCGCUAUAGAGUCCCGGUGGAUGCUUGCCAGCAACCCCCAACUUUCUAUGGUUGACCUCGGAUCAGGUAGGGAUACCCGCUGAACUUAAGCAUAUCAAAAGCGGAGGA